rnacentral:rRNA from 1 species
AAGUAUAAGCAAUUAUACCGUGAAACUGCGAAUGGCUCAUUAAAUCAGUUAUCGUUUAUUUGAUAAUACCUUACUACUUGGAUAACCGUGGUAAUUCUAGAGCUAAUACAUGCUGAAAAUCCCGACUUCGGAAGGGAUGUGUUUAUUAGAUAAAAAACCAAUGCCCUUCGGGGCUCUUUGGUGAUUCAUGAUAACUUUACGGAUCGCAUAGCCUUGCGCUGGCGACGGUUCAUUCAAAUUUCUGCCCUAUCAACUUUCGAUGGUAAGGUAUUGGCUUACCAUGGUUUCAACGGGUAACGGGGAAUUAGGGUUCGAUUCCGGAGAGGGAGCCUGAGAAACGGCUACCACAUCCAAGGAAGGCAGCAGGCGCGCAAAUUACCCAAUCCCGACACGGGGAGGUAGUGACAAUAAAUACUGAUACAGGGCUCUUUUGGGUCUUGUAAUUGGAAUGAGUACAAUUUAAACCUCUUAACGAGGAACAAUUGGAGGGCAAGUCUGGUGCCAGCAGCCGCGGUAAUUCCAGCUCCAAUAGCGUAUAUUAAAGUUGUUGCAGUUAAAAAGCUCGUAGUUGAAACUUGGGCCUGGCUGGCGGGUCCGCCUCACCGCGUGCACUCGUCCGGCCGGGCCUUCCUUCUGAAGAACCUCAUGCCCUUCACUGGGCGUGUUGGGGAAUCAGGACUUUUACUUUGAAAAAAUUAGAGUGUUCAAAGCAGGCCUUUGCUCGAAUACGUUAGCAUGGAAUAAUAAAAUAGGGCGUGCGUUUCUAUUUUGUUGGUUUCUAGAGACGCCGCAAUGAUUAACAGGAACAGUCGGGGGCAUCAGUAUUCAGUUGUCAGAGGUGAAAUUCUUGGAUUUACUGAAGACUAACUACUGCGAAAGCAUUUGCCAAGGAUGUUUUCAUUAAUCAGUGAACGAAAGUUAGGGGAUCGAAGACGAUCAGAUACCGUCGUAGUCUUAACCGUAAACUAUGCCGACUAGGGAUCGGGCGAUGUUCUUUUUCUGACUCGCUCGGCACCUUACGAGAAAUCAAAGUUUUUGGGUUCUGGGGGGAUUAUGGU